CUAUAUUAUGUCCAAACAUUGAAUCACCAUUUAGUUGUAGCUAGCAAUCUUCGAAUUAAUUGAAAACAAGACUACGUCAAAGAUGGUUUCUUCAAAGUCAACCAUUCUCUUUGAUUGUAGUCACCUUAAGCUACCAAUUAGCUAUUGAAGGUUUCAUUAUUUCGGGUCAAAUGGUACUUUACCAUUUCCUUGAGUAUAUAUCGUAUAUACACUCAAU
rnacentral:lncRNA from 1 species